rnacentral:rRNA from 1 species
CAGGGGGACAACCCGCCGAAAGGCGGGCUAAACCCGCGUACAUGCCACCGGGGCAUCCCGGAGGCAGGAAAGGCUUCGGCCGGACAGGGAUGGGCAUGCGGCGCAUUAGGCAGUAGGCGGGGUAACGGCCCACCUAACCGACGACGCGUAGGGGUUCUGAGAGGAAGGUCCCCCACACUGGUACUGAGACACGGACCAGACUCCUACGGGAGGCAGCAGUGAGGAAUAUUGGUCAAUGGUCGGGAGACUGAACCAGCCAAGCCGCGUGAGGGAUGAAGGUACAGAGUAUCGUAAACCUCUUUUGUCAGGGAACAAAGGCGGGGGCGUGUCCCCGGAUGAGUGUACCUGAAGAAAAAGCAUCGGCUAACUCCGUGCCAGCAGCCGCGGUAAUACGGAGGAUGCGAGCGUUAUCCGGAUUUAUUGGGUUUAAAGGGUGCGCAGGCGGUCUGUUAAGUCAGCGGUCAAAGCCCGGGGCUCAACCCCGGCCCGCCGUUGAAACUGGCAGUCUCGAGUUGGAGAGAAGUAUGCGGAAUGCGCGGUGUAGCGGUGAAAUGCAUAGAUAUCGCGCAGAACUCCGAUUGCGAAGGCAGCAUGCCGGCUCCACACUGACGCUGAGGCACGAAAGCGUGGGUAUCGAACAGGAUUAGAUACCCUGGUAGUCCACGCAGUAAACGAUGAAUGCUGGCUGUCCAGGGGGGAUUGACCCCUGGGUGGCGAAG